rnacentral:rRNA from 1 species
AUUGAACGCUGGCGGAAUGCUUUACACAUGCAAGUCGAACGGCAGCACGGGAGCUUGCUCCUGGUGGCGAGUGGCGAACGGGUGAGUAACAUAUCGGAACGUACCCAGUCGUGGGGGAUAACUAUCCGAAAGGAUAGCUAAUACCGCAUACGUCCUGAGGGAGAAAGCGGGGGAUCGCAAGACCUCGCGCGAUUGGAGCGGCCGAUAUCGGAUUAGCUAGUUGGUGGGGUAAAGGCUCACCAAGGCGACGAUCCGUAGCGGGUCUGAGAGGACGACCCGCCACACUGGAACUGAGACACGGUCCAGACUCCUACGGGAGGCAGCAGUGGGGAAUUUUGGACAAUGGGGGGCAACCCUGAUCCAGCCAUUCCGCGUGAGUGAAGAAGGCCUGGUUGUAAAGCUCUUUACCCGGGUAGUGAUAAUGACAGUACCGGGAGAA